ACUGCUGGUGCCUGGGGGUGGAUUCUGCACUUCUCCCCAUUUUACAGAUGAGAACAGUUGAGCAAAGGUCAGCAGCAGAGUCAGAACUCUUCCCCCAUCACCACAGUGGUCCUCAAGCUGGAGCCAGACAGCCACCCAGGUGACCCAGCUUGGAACAUGUGCUUAGCGCCAUGUUGAGCCAACAACUGAGCCUGAGGACUAACUUCCUAAGUCUCAGUCCCUUUCUCACCGGUCGGGACACCAGUUCCCUGACUUGUCAUGCCUGCGAGAUGUCAGACCUGCCUUCCUUCCUCAUUUCCUCUACAACCCACAAGAACACAGCCAGGACCCCUAGGCUUCUCCACUU
rnacentral:lncRNA from 1 species